UAGCUUGGAGGGUAGUGCAUCUGCCUUGUAAGCACUAGGUUGCGGGUUCGAUUCCCGC
rnacentral:tRNA from 1 species